rnacentral:rRNA from 1 species
AUUGAACGCUGGCGGCAUGCCUUACACAUGCAAGUCGAACGGUAGAGGGGGCAACCCCUCGAGAGUGGCGAACGGGUGAGUAAAGCAUCAGAACGUGCCCAGUAGUGGGGGAUAGCCCGGCGAAAGCCGGAUUAAUACCGCAUGAGACCUACGGGUGAAAGGGGGGGAUCGCAAGACCUCUCGCUAUUGGAGCGGCCGAUGUCAGAUUAGGUAGUUGGUGGGGUAAAGGCCUACCAAGCCGACGAUCUGUAGCUGGUCUGAGAGGACGACCAGCCACACUGGGACUGAGACACGGCCCAGACUCCUACGGGAGGCAGCAGUGGGGAAUUUUGGACAAUGGGCGCAAGCCUGAUCCAGCCAUGCCGCGUGCGGGAAGAAGGCCUUCGGGUUGUAAACCGCUUUUGUCAGGGAAGAAAUCCUUUGAGCUAAUACCUCGGGGGGAUGACGGUACCUGAAGAAUAAGCACCGGCUAACUACGUGCCAGCCGCCGCGGUAACAC